rnacentral:rRNA from 1 species
UACGGGGGGGCAAGCGUUGUUCGGAAUUACUGGGCGUAAAGGGCUCGUAGGUGGCCAACUAAGUCGGACGUGAAAUCCCUCGGCUUAACCGGGGAACUGCGUCCGAUACUGGAUGGCUUGAGUGUGGGAGAGGGAUGCGGAAUUCCAGGUGUAGCGGUGAAAUGCGUAGAUAUCAGGAGGAACACCGGUGGCGAAGGCGGGUCUCUGGGCCGAAACUGACGCUGAGGAGCGAAAGCGUGGGAGCAAACAGG